CCGUUUCAAUCUGUUGAGGACAGAUAAAGUGUAUGUGACUAUCGAUUCCUCCUGGGGUGAGGAUCAUUCCUUCUCCUGCUAUUACUUCAGUGGCGGGUCCAAUGAUAAUAUUUACUCUGUCUUGGAUGUAGGGGUUACCCGCUUUACCAAUUUGUAAGAUUUUCCCGUCUUUGAUACCAAUAUCAGCUUUAACUACUCCCCACCAGUCGAGAAUUAGGGCGUUGGUAAUUACUAAAUCUACUGCUCCUUCAGCGCGAGAUAAGGGGGAUUGUCCCAUACCAUCUCUA
rnacentral:sRNA from 1 species